rnacentral:rRNA from 1 species
UACGUAGGGGGCAAGCGUUGUCCGGAUUUAUUGGGCGUAAAGCGCGCGCAGGCGGUCCUUUAAGUCUGAUGUGAAAGCCCACGGCUCAACCGUGGAGGGUCACUGGAAACUGGGGGACUUGAGUGCAGAAGAGGAAAGCGGAAUUCCACGUGUAGCGGUGAAAUGCGUAGAGAUGUGGAGGAACACCAGUGGCGAAGGCGGCUUUCUGGUCUGUAACUGACGCUGAGGCGCGAACGCGUGGGGAGCAAACAGG